UAUGACCACAUCACGUUGAAACACAGGUUCCCGUAUGAUCAUCCAAGUUAAGCAACGUCGAGUCUGGUCGGUACUUAGAUGGGUGACUGCUUGGGUGUACUAGGUGUU